rnacentral:rRNA from 1 species
AUCUUGGUCAUUUAGAGGAAGUAAAAGUCGUAACAAGGUCUCCGUUGGUGAACCAGCGGAGGGAUCAUUACAGAGCUCCGAAAGGACUCCCUUAAACCAUCGCGAACCCAUCCGUACAGCGUUGCUUCGGCGGGCGGCCCCUCCCAGGGGCCGCAGGCCCCCCCUCUCCGGAGGGGGAGCGCCCGCCGGAGGGCACAAACCCUUCUGUAUUAUAGUGGCAUCUCUGAGUAAGCAAGCAAAUAAGUCAAAACUUUCAACAACGGAUCUCUUGGCUCUGGCAUCGAUGAAGAACGCAGCGAAAUGCGAUAAGUAAUGUGAAUUGCAGAAUUCAGUGAAUCAUCGAAUCUUUGAACGCACAUUGCGCCCGCUAGUACUCUAGCGGGCAUGCCUGUCCGAGCGUCAUUACAACCCUCAAGCUCUGCUUGGUGUUGGGGCCCUACAGCUGCUGUAGGCCCUGAAAGUUAGUGACGGGCUCGCUAAGUCUCCGAGCGUAGUAGAAUCCUAUCUCGCUAGGGACGGCUUGGCGGUCUCCGGCCGUUAAACACCCCCUUAUACCAAAGGUUGACCUCGGAUCAGGUAGGAGUACCCGCUGAACUUAAGCAUAUCAA